rnacentral:rRNA from 1 species
CACGUAGGGCGCAAGCGUUGUCCGGAAUUAUUGGGCGUAAAGAGCUCGUAGGCGGUCUGUUGCGUCCGCUGUGAAAACCCGGGGCUUAACCCUGGGCUGGCAGUGGAUACGGACAGACUAGAGGUAGGUAGGGGAGAAUGGACUUCCCAGUGUAGCGGUGAAAUGCGCAGAUAUCGGGAGGAACACCGGUGGCGAAGGCGGUUCUCUGGGCCUUACCUGACGCUGAGGAGCGAAAGCGUGGGGAGCGAACAGG